GGCCCGUUGGGGAAGCGGGUUAACACAGCAGCCCUUCACGCUGUCAUACAGGGGUUCGAAUCCCCUACGGGUCACCA
rnacentral:tRNA from 1 species